GUGAGAUAGGCUUGGGUUAUUUAUUAGGUUCAGACUGUUAAUACAGAAAGAUGUAUGAAAAGUUGAAAUAAGAGACAGUUGCAUUUCAAAAGUGCAAGAGCUGAAAUGUUUUUAAUUGCCUUUGCAGCCCUUUGCACAGCUGAACCUGGAAGACACAGAGAUUAUGGAGGCAUCUAAGCAUCAAAAUGUGCUUGGCAGCUUCAUCUUGAAGUGUUGCAGCCAGUGUCCCACCCCAGUGUGAAUACUAAGCUGCCAGUUGUUUUCCCCAGCAAUAGUGAAAGACCUCUGGGUAUUUACAUUCUGAAAAGAUUAAAGGACAGAAUUACACUGGAACUGGUGGAGGCAUGAUCCAUGCCCCCUUGAUUAUAUGGAAACAUUAAAAUAUCAUCAGCAUGUUAAUUUUAUCAACUGAACUGUGUGAGAUUUAUUCAUACCUCUUAUCUAUUACAUUAGUCUGGAAAUACAAUUUAUUCUGAUGGUGGGAAUGUCAGACAGAGAGACCAAAAACAUCUGGACUUCUUAAUAUGAAACAAAUUUUCUAGAUGUAGAUUGCCACUUUAAAAUUAAUUCUGCUAAUAAGGAGACAGAAAUUUCACAGCC
rnacentral:lncRNA from 14 species